UAUCUGAAUCAACGGUUCCUCUCGUACUAAAUUGAAUUACCGUUGCGGCGAACUUCAUCAGUAGGGUAAAACUAACCUGUCUCACGACGGUCUAA
rnacentral:rRNA from 1 species